rnacentral:misc_RNA from 1 species
AAUGUUAGCUGGGAUGACAUUGGUGGUCUCGAGAAUGUUAAGCGGGAGCUUCAAGAGACUGUUCAAUAUCCGGUGGAGCAUCCAGAGAAGUUUGAGAAGUUUGGCAUGUCACCUUCUAAAGGUGUCCUUUUCUAUGGCCCUCCUGGAUGCGGGAAAACUCUGCUGGCUAAAGCAAUUGCAAAUGAAUGUCAGGCAAACUUCAUAAGUGUCAAGGGUCCUGAACU